GAUUAUUUUUUCACACUAGAAGAGCACAACUUAUCAUAAAAAAAACCUAAAUCUCUUCUUUCUUUCUUACUACAAUCAUGACUUUUUGUUCUCCGUCACCAUGGCCGUUCCAUCGUCCUACUUUUCCCUUCAAUUAUCAUAUUCCUCUCACCCAUUUUUUGGAAUUAAGCAUCAAAAACUAUGUCAGUGAACAACUUAAUGUUAAAAUUUCCUGGUCUAAAAGUCUCUUUUUCUUCCUGUCUUUUAAGGUCAUGUCUUCAGACUGCUUGUACAUCUAAGAAGUUUGGCUCACGUGGAAUCAAAAAGCUCCCUCUCUAGUCACAAAUUCCUCUGCCUUUCUUGCUUCUAUAGCCUCUCAAUAAUUAAGACCAAUGCUUAUCGUUCCUCUCAACCUGAACAUGGGCAGCCCUUCUCAAAUUCAUGUAGUUAUGGCCGAUCAGUGGCCAAGGCCAAAAUCAGCAACGAACUGCCCCUUUGGUUCUUAUCCACAAUCCAAUGUUGAAGUUCUUGCUGCAGACCCUGAAGCACAGACCUCAAUACGCUUCUCAAAUGCUCUUCAGGGUCAGUUCUGUUUGGGCUACAGCCACACUGCCAGAGAAUGUAAUUCACUGUUCAGGCAGGUGUCUAUGCUAUCGUGGGCCCAUAUUGAUUCUCUUUGAUGCUCAUGAAACAUCGUAGUUUUCUAAUACCGGCACUGCUGCUCAUAUGACUGACACACUAGUCUCAGGAUUUUUGGGAUUUGGUCGAAUAUGGUUUCGUGGAUUUAGAAGACCCAGAUGAAGAGGCAGAAGAAAGAUUAAAAGAAACCAAAAAGAAGGAUUCCAAAGCUUUAUUCCUAGUUCAACAAGCUGUCCAUGAAAUAAUUUUCUCAAGAAUUGUAAUAGCAGCAACAUCUUUGGAGGCCUGGCAAAUUUUGAAGAAAGAGUUCCAAGGCUCAUCGAAGGUAAUCACGGUAAAGUUACAAACAUAUCGUCGUGAAUUUGAAACUCUGUCUAUGAAAAAUGUUGAAUAUAUUCAAGCUUAUUUGUUUAGAGUUUCUUCUCUAGUUAAUCAAAUGAAGUCGUAUGGUGAAGUGAUUUAUGAAGAAACGGUUGUUGCAAAAGUAUUAAGGAGUCUUACUCUUAAAUUUGAACAUAUUGUUGCUGCUAUUGAGGAAGCCCAUGAUUUAUCAAAUUAUUCAUUUGAUGAACUAAUGAGUUCCUUACAAGCUCAUGAAGACAGAUUGCUUAGAUCAUAUGAAAAGAAUGAAGAAAAAGCCUUUCAGGUGAAGGUGGAGAUGCAUGAAAAUACUUCUAGAUGUGGCAGUGGUAGUGGCAGUGGCAUAGGUGUCUUUCAUGAAGGAGGCCAAGGAAAAGGUGCAGACAGAAGUGCAUCUAAUGAAGAGAGGCAAAGGAAGAUCUUUAAAUGUUACUACUCUAACAAACCAGGUUGUAGAGAGGCUUAUUGUUGGAAAAAACAAAAAGAUGAGAACAACCAAGCAAGUUUUGCAGAGGAACCAGAUGAAGAAAGUAAGUUAUUUAUGGCUCUUUUUUGUGAGAGAGAGUAGUCUAACAAUGUUUGGUUUUUGGACAGAAGUUGUUCUAACCAUAUGUGUGGAACAAAAUCAUUAUUUAAGGAACUUGAUGAGUCCGAUAAAACAGAUGUAAUGCUAGGAGACAGCAAGAAGAUUUGAGUUGAAGGCAAAGGUACUAUAAACAUUAAAACUAGUCAAGGGAAUGUUAAGAUUUUACAAGAUGUGAUGCUUGUUCCUGAUUUAUCUCAUAAUUUGCUUAGCAUUGGGCAAUUAAUGAUUAGUGGAUAAUCAAUUCAGUUUGACGAUGAUUGUUGCACUAUUAGAGAUAAGAAAUCUGGGCAAAUCACCGCUAAAGUUCCGAUGGCUAAAAAUAAAAUAUUUCCGCUAGAAGUUUCAAUGAAUGAGAAUUGUGUUAUGGUUACUAGUGGUGAUAGUAGGACUCGAUUGUGGCAUUUACGUUAUGGGCACUUAAAUGUUAAUAGGUUAAAAUUAUUGAGUCAAAAGAAAAUGGUUUUUGGUUUGCCAAAACUUGAGAAUCUUGGUUUUUGUGAAGGUUGUGUUUAUAGAAAACAGAGUAAAAAGUCUUUUCCCAUAGGAAAGGCCUGGAGAGCCUCUAAUUGCCUUGAGUUAGUGCAUGCAGACUUGUGUGGCCUUAUGAAUACAAAAUCUCUUGGUGGUAGUCGAUAUUCUCUGCUGUUUACAGAUGAUUAUAGCCGCAUGAGUUGGGUUUAUUUUUUAAAAAGCAAGUCUGAAACUUUUAACAGAUUUAAGAAGUUUAAAGCACUUGUAGAAAGAAACAAGGUCUUUUAAUAAAGACAUUGCGAAAAGAUAGAGGAGGUGAAUUUAUUUGAACUGAUUUUAAUACUUUUUGUGAGGAAAAUGGAAUUCGCAGGGAACUUGCAGCGCCAUACACACUACAACAAAAUGGUUUAGCUGAAAGAAAGCACAGAACAGUAGUGGAGAUGACCAGAAGUAUGAUGCAAGCAAAAGGUCUUCCUAUUUAUUUUUGGGCAGAAGCUGUUGCAACAGCGGUGUAUAUUCUUAAUUUAUCUCCUACAAAAGCUGUUCGUAAUCAAACACCUGUUGAGGCUUGGACAGGUAGAAAACUAACGAUCCUAUUCACUUUGAAAAAGCUGCAAAAAGCAAGGAAUGGUAUAAAGCUAUGGAAGAAGGAGUUGUUAGCUAUUAAGAAAAAUCAAAUAUGGGGAUUUGGUUGACUUACCGAAA